GAUUGAACGCUGGCGGCAGGCCUAACACAUGCAAGUCGAACGGUAACAGGAAGAAGCUUGCUUCUUUGCUGACGAGUGGCGGACGGGUGAGUAAUGUCUGGGAAACUGCCUGAUGGAGGGGGAUAACUACUGGAAACGGUAGCUAAUACCGCAUAACGUCGCAAGACCAAAGAGGGGGACCUUCGGGCCUUUUGCCAUCGGAUGUGCCCAGAUGGGAUUAGCUAGUAGGUGGGGUAACGGCUCACCUAGGCGACGAUCCCUAGCUGGUCUGAGAGGAUGACCAGCCACACUGGAACUGAGACACGGUCCAGACUCCUACGGGAGGCAGCAGUGGGGAAUAUUGCACAAUGGGCGCAAGCCUGAUGCAGCCAUGCCGCGUGUAUGAAGAAGGCCUUCGGGUUGUAAAGUACUUUCAGCGGGGAGGAAGGGAGUAAAGUUAAUACCUUUGCUCAUUGACGUUACCCGCAGAAGAAGCACCGGCUAACUCCGUG
rnacentral:rRNA from 1 species